GAUGAACGCUAGCGGGAGGCUUAACACAUGCAAGUCGAGGGGUAAAUGGCAGCAAUGCUAUGAGACCGGCGAACGGGUGCGUAACGCGUAUGCAACUUACCUUAUGCAGGGGGAUAGCCCGUGGAAACGCGGAUUAAUAUCCCAUAGAUCAGUGGUAUCGCAUGGUACAGCUGGUAAAGCUCAGGUGGCAUAAGAUGGGCAUGCGUCUGAUUAGCUAGUUGGUAGGGUAACGGCCUACCAAGGCGACGAUCAGUAGGGGUUCUGAGAGGAUUAACCCCCACACUGGUACUGAGACACGGACCAGACUCCUACGGGAGGCAGCAGUGAGGAAUAUUGGUCAAUGGGCGGAAGCCUGAACCAGCCAUCCCGCGUGAAGGAAGAAGGCCUUAUGGGUUGUAAACUUCUUUUCUGUUUGAAGAAUAAGCUUGUCGAGACAAGUGAUGCCGGUAGGACAGGAUAAGCAUCGGCUAACUCCGUGCCAGC
rnacentral:rRNA from 1 species